rnacentral:rRNA from 1 species
UACGAAGGGGGCUAGCGUUGCUCGGAAUGACUGGGCGUAAAGGGCGCGUAGGCGGAUGGCACAGUCAGAUGUGAAAUUCCCGGGCUUAACCUGGGGGCUGCAUUUGAUACGUGUUGUCUUGAGUUCGGAAGAGGGUCGUGGAAUUCCCAGUGUAGAGGUGAAAUUCGUAGAUAUUGGGAAGAACACCGGUGGCGAAGGCGGCGACCUGGUCCGACACUGACGCUGAGGCGCGAAAGCGUGGGGAGCGAACGGG